CCCUUAGAUGUUCUGGGCCGCACGCGCGCUACACUGACGAAUGCAACGAGCUUAUAACCUUGGCCGAAAGGUCUGGGUAAUCUCCAAAUUUCGUCGUGAUGGGGAUAGAUUAUUGCAAUUAUUAAUCUUCAACGAGGAAUGCCUAGUAAGCGCAAGUCAUCAGCUUGCAUUGAUUACGUCCCUGCCCUUUGUACACACCGCCCGUCGCACCUACCGAUUGAAUGGUCCGGUGAAAUCUCGGGACGGCGGCUUGGUCGCUUGCGUCCGACUGCUGAAACUUGAUUAAACCAUNUNAUUUAGNGGAAGGUGAANUCGUANCA
rnacentral:rRNA from 1 species